rnacentral:rRNA from 1 species
ACGAACGCUGGCGGCGUGCCUAAUACAUGCAAGUAGAACGCUGAAGGAGGAGCUUGCUUCUCUGGAUGAGUUGCGAACGGGUGAGUAACGCGUAGGUUACCUGCCUGGUAGCGGGGGAUAACUAUUGGAAACGUUAGCUAAUACCGCAUAAGAGUAGAUGUUGCAUGACAUUUGCUUAAAAGGUGCAAUUGUAUCACUACCAGAUGGACCUGCGUUGUAUUAGCUAGUUGGUGAGGUAACGGCUCACCAAGGCAACGAUACAUAGCCGACCUGAGAGGGUGAUCAGCCACACUGGGGCUGGGACACGACCCAGACUCCUACGGGAGGCAGCAGUAGGGAAUCUUCGGCAAUGGACGGGAGUCUGACCGAGCAACGCCGCAUGGGUGAAAAAGGUUUUCGGAUCGUAAAGCUCUGUUGUAAGAGAAGAACGAGUGUGAGAGUGGAAAGAUCACACUGUGACGGUAUCUUACCAGAAAGGGACGGCUAACUACGUG